ACCUUUACAGUAAAGUGCAUUUAAGUCAAAGUGGAUUACCAGUUUUUUGUGCUGUUUCUAAUCGGUCUUCCUUGCUUUUUUCCCCUCCUCAGCCCUCCUGAAAAAUAUAUUGAUAAAGCAGGAAAUGAUGAUGGACCAAUUAAGGAUCAUCUUUAAGACCCUACAGUCUAUGAAGUCUUCUGAUGAGGAAGACAUUGGCCUGGAUCCAAAUAUUUUGCCUCUCAAAGAUGUCGAGUCUCUUGAGAACCUGGAAGAACAACUUGGGAUUAACCCAGACCUCAAGAAACAGUUGGCAAACACACUGGGUCUGAAAGGAGGGACCAACAUUAAAGAGAGUGUUUGGAGGGUGAUGCAGGCCACAGUAACAGACUCCUUGGCCAAGAAUAUCAAUAUGAGAGGCGUCAACGGCAAGAUUGGCUUCCAGCGCCUUCGCAUCAGUGUGUGCUGCCGUGAGGUGCAACAGAUUAACAAGUAGUGCCACUGACCAAGAAACUGAUGCUACAGUGAAAAGAUGGUUACACCUGGCCCUGAUGGAGAUGGAGGGAGGAGAGUCUGGAUGCAGAGGAAGACCAAUGAACAGGAAAGGGGAAAUUAAUGAUGGUUAAUGACUAAUGAUGAUUUUUACACUCGUUCCUGUAGUUUUGGACAUCUAGUUCUGAGCCCGUUAAGUUUUUAUUUGUUAUAUUCAUUACUAUUGUUGUUCC